rnacentral:tRNA from 1 species
CAGAGCGUGGCUAAAAUAAAGCAUUUCUCUUACACUGAAAAGAUACCUGUGAGAGCCAGGUCGUUCUGA